rnacentral:tRNA from 1 species
GGGCCGGUAGCUCAACAGGAGAGCGCCCCGUUCGCAACGGGAAGGUUGCGGGUGCGAGUCCCGCCUGGUCCA